rnacentral:tRNA from 1 species
GCCGAAAUAGCUCAGUUGGGAGAGCGUUAGAUAUAGAUCGAAAAGUCCCUGGUACGAUUCCGGGAUUCGACA